CGUGUAGGCGGUCCGGUAAGUCGGCUGUGAAAGUCCAAGGCUCAACCUUGGGAUGCCGGUCGAUACUGCCGGACUAGAGUUCGGAAGAGGCGAGUGGAAUUCCCGGUGUAGCGGUGAAAUGCGCAGAUAUCGGGAGGAACACCUAUGGCGAAGGCAGCUCGCUGGGACGUUACUGACGCUGAGACGCGAAAGCGUGGGAGCAAACA
rnacentral:rRNA from 1 species